rnacentral:rRNA from 1 species
CAAACCAAAGCUGGCGACCGGCGCACGGGUGAGUAACACGUAUCCAACCUGCCUCAUACUCGGGGAUAGCCUUUCGAAGGAAAGAUUAAUAUCCGAUAGCAUAUAUUUCCCGCAUGGGUUUUAUAUUAAAGAAAUUCGGUAUGAGAUGGGGAUGCGUUCCAUUAGUUUGUUGGGGGGGUAACGGCCCACCAAGACUACGAUGGAUAGGGGUUCUGAGAGGAAGGUCCCCCACAUUGGAACUGAGACACGGUCCAA